UGUCACGUAUUCUUGUUUUUCUAGUAGUGAUGCGAUCUAGUCUGGCAUGGUAAGCAUCCAUUGGCAUCUUCAGAACUGCAGCUGAAUGCUAUGGAACCUCUUCAUGUUGCUGCUCCAAUAUGAACCCAGCUUCUCUUGGGUAGGACUCAAAACCGUCCUACACUUUAUAUUUCUGAAUAGUGAUGUGGUCAAUAUCGAGCAUGAGCAGCACUAAAGGUUCACUCUCAUCCCAACGGACUCUAGCUGCACAGCAUAGUCUAGUACUGAUUACAGCAUGAGGAAUGCCACCUGAAGAACCACCUUGUAGAUAUCGUCGGAUAGAAGCUUAUAUGACCCGACCCAUGUCGAUCUUCUUGCCCAAAAUAAUACUAAAUAACAUAAUUUCCCUGUCUUUAGUGAUGACUUUCUGAUUGCCACAGAUAAAACUGUACCACGCCUUUCCAUAUCUUCUUAAGGCUGUGUGGGGGAAAUGCAGUUUUUGGUCAGUGCCCUGUUUUUUAGCCCAUACAGUAC
rnacentral:lncRNA from 1 species